UACGUAGGUGGCAAGCGUUAUCCGGAAUUAUUGGGCGUAAAGCGCGCGCAGGCGGUUUCUUAAGUCUGAUGUGAAAGCCCACGGCUCAACCGUGGAGGGUCAUUGGAAACUGGGGAACUUGGGUGCAGAAGAGAAAAGCGGAAUUCCACGUGUAGCGGUGAAAUGCGUAGAGAUGUGGAGGAACACCAGUGGCGAAGGCGGCUUUUUGGUCUGUAACUGACGCUGAGACGCGAAAGCGUGGGGAGCAAACAGG
rnacentral:rRNA from 1 species